rnacentral:lncRNA from 1 species
CUUUGGUAUAACUCAAGUGAAGAUGACCCUGCAUCUCUACUGAACCAUCUCACAGGGCUUUCAAGAAAUAUGGGCCUUUCAAACCACAUUUUUGACACAUCAUGCCUACAAUGGCACAGAUCACAUUCCUGUGGCUUCAAACAUCUGCUCCCAAAGCAUGUUUCAGUGGUGGCUACAGCCGAGAGGUGCAUCAGUGUUACCCCAGUCUUGCACCCAAGGACCCUCACUUGGGGAGCCCCAGGCCCUCCAGAGUCCUGGAUCCACGCCUCUUGUGGAGGCACCAUCUGUCUCUCGAUCCUCCCAUAGCCCAGUGGUGUUCCUGAGAGAGCUGUGUGCUGGCCUCUCCCUCUGACCUAUGUUGACCUCACCAAGCUCCAGCUACAAGGCUGGCCUCUGUCCUGAUGGCUGUUCUCAUUGGAUGUGGCCAAUGCUACUUUGUCGCUAUGUCCAAGAUCCUUGUCUGGAGUGAACACAUUUGGAAUUAGGAGUUUCUAAGAAACGUCCAUUGUAGUUUGAGCUCUAGCUGUUCAUUCUUGGUGGUCAGUAAGUCACUUUUUUGGCUUUGCCUGACAAUACAUAUGACCUCUGAGGCUCAAGUUCUCCACCCACAAAAUGAAGCCAUUUGUUCCCAUGUCAUUGUCUGGCUAUGAGGCUGGGAGGUUAUGGCCUUGGUACUCAUAAUCACUGGCGUACAGUUCACACUGGUGCUCAGUCCAUCUUUAUUCCUGCCCUUUCUUCUUUCAUAAUUUCUCCAGGGUCACGCCAGAGAUUGGAGAAGAUGAAGAUAUCAGAAGGUGUAAUGCUGGCAUUGUUCCAUAGCAACGGGCCUUAGGUACAUGGCAGAAAAAGAGAGAGAAAAAGUUGUUCCCUUCUCAUAGUGUCCCUACCUGGAGUUAGCUGUCAGCCAAAAGCACUUUAAUGUAUCACGUCCUGGUGGCUACACAGGUUACACAAUUGUCAAAACCCAUUGGGCUGCACACUUAAUACCUAUGCAUUUU